GGAUCGGUAGCCUAGUGGAUUUUUCAAGUUAUAUCAACCAUAAAAGGCACUGGCCUUCGGAGCCAGCGAUCGCAGGUUCGAAUCCUGCCCGAUCCGCCA
rnacentral:tRNA from 1 species